rnacentral:rRNA from 1 species
UAAUUCGAAGCAACGCGAAGAACCUUACCAGGUCUUGACAUCCUCUGAAAACCCUAGAGAUAGGGCUUCUCCUUCGGGAGCAGAGUGACAGGUGGUGCAUGGUUGUCGUCAGCUCGUGUCGUGAGAUGUUGGGUUAAGUCCCGCAACGAGCGCAACCCUUGAUCUUAGUUGCCAUCAUUAAGUUGGGCACUCUAAGGUGACUGCCGGUGACAAACCGGAGGAAGGUGGGGAUGACGUCAAAUCAUCAUGCCCCUUAUGACCUGGGCUACACACGUGCUACAAUGGACGGUACAAAGAGCUGCAAGACCGCGAGGUGGAGCUAAUCUCAUAAAACCGUUCUCAGUUCGGAUUGUAGGCUGCAACUCGCCUACAUGAAGCUGGAAUCGCUAGUAAUCGCGGAUCAGCAUGCCGCGGUGAAUACGUUCCCGGGCCUUGUACACACCGCCCGUCACACCACGAGAGUUUGUAACACCCGAAGUCG